rnacentral:rRNA from 1 species
UCAGGAUGAACGCUGGCGGCGUGCCUAACACAUGCAAGUCGAACGAAGCGUCCCGCCCGAAGAAGAGGAGUGCUUGCACAAAUCGGACUCAAUUGGGAUGACUUAGUGGCGGACGGGUGAGUAACGCGUGGGUAACCUGCCCUAUACAGGGGGAUAACAGUUAGAAAUGACUGCUAAUACCGCAUAAGCGCACAUUAUCGCAUGAUAGAGUGUGAAAAGCCGAGACGGUAUAGGAUGGACCCGCGUCUGAUUAGCCAGUUGGCAGGGUAACGGCCUACCAAAGCAACGAUCAGUAGCCGGCCUGAGAGGGUGAACGGCCACAUUGGGACUGAGACACGGCCCAAACCCCUACGGGAGGCAGCAGUGGGGGAUAUUGCACAAUGGGGGAAACCCUGAUGCCAGCGACGCCGCGUGAGUGAAGAAGUAUUUCGGUAUGUAAAGCUCUAUCAGCAGGGAAGAAAAUGACGGUACCUGACUAAGAAGCUCCGGCUAAAUACGUGCCAGCCGCCGC